rnacentral:tRNA from 1 species
GGAUGGGUGACAGAGUGGCCGAAUGUGCACGCCUGGAAAGCGUGUGUGCCCCAAAAGGGCACCGAGGGUUCGAAUCCCUCCCCAUCCG